rnacentral:rRNA from 1 species
AUUGAACGCUGGCGGCAUGCCUUACACAUGCAAGUCGAACGGCAGCACGGGUGCUUGCACCUGGUGGCGAGUGGCGAACGGGUGAGUAAUACAUCGGAACAUGUCCUGUAGUGGGGGAUAGCCCGGCGAAAGCCGGAUUAAUACCGCAUACGAUCUACGGAUGAAAGCGGGGGACCUUCGGGCCUCGCGCUAUAGGGUUGGCCGAUGGCUGAUUAGCUAGUUGGUGGGGUAAAGGCCUACCAAGGCGACGAUCAGCAGCUGGUCUGAGAGGACGACCAGCCACACUGGGACUGAGACACGGCCCAGACUCCUACGGGAGGCAGCAGUGGGGAAUUUUGGACAAUGGGCGAAAGCCUGAUCCAGCAAUGCCGCGUGUGUGAAGAAGGCCUUCGGGUUGUAAAGCACUUUUGUCCGGAAAGAAAUCCUUGGCCCUAAUACGGUCGGGGGAUGACGGUACCGGAAGAAUAAGCACCGGCUAAUUACGUG